rnacentral:rRNA from 1 species
AUGGGCUCUCGCCGUCCUCCUCCUACCACCCUAAUCUUGGUGUUGCUGCUAUGCCUCUACUAUGCGCCGCGCCGGGCCUUCUCACUCUUCUUCGACCUCAACUUCUCCGACCCAAGAGCCGGUUCAUCCAUCGCCGUCAACGGCGAUGCACUCGUCAGCACGUCGUGGCUGGAGCUGACAAAGAACACGCGUGAUGAAAACAUUCAGAGCAGCGUCGGCCGGGCAUGGUACGACCACAAAGUGCCGCUGUGGAGCAACGCCACCGGCGAGAUGGCUAGCUUCACCACCACCUUCUCCUUCCGAAUCACCCCGGACAAGGACAGCCUGCCGCUGACAGGCGACGGGAUGGCCUUCUUCCUCGGGAGUUUCCCUUCGGUGCUCCCGCCUGGGAGUGCCGGCGGUGGCCUCGGCCUCCUCCCGACCAACACUAACGGGACAGGGGAAGGCCGAAUCGUGGCCGUCGAGUUCGACACUUUCUACAACUCCCAAUAUCGUGACAUCAACGGGAACCAUGUCGGCAUCGACAUCAACUCUGUAAACUCCACGGCGUCCACGAGCACGGCGAGAACGGGCAAGAACCUCACGUCGCAUCAUGUUAUGGAAGCCACCGUCAAGUACCAGAAUGACUCCAAGAUGCUGGCCGUUGAUCUCCUCAUCGAUGAUGCGUUGUACCAGGUCAGUACAACCGUCGAUCUGAGAAGAUACUUACCGGAGGAGGUCGCCGUCGGUUUCUCCGCGGCCACUGGCGAAGUCGCCGAGCUGCACCAGAUACUGUCAUGGUCAUUCAGCUCCACGCUUGAAUCAAAGAAGGAAGCACCUCCACCUGCCGAACCCCCUCUCCCAGUUCAAACCAGUAGCCGCAGCAUCCACAAAAAGUUGGUACCGAUCCUAGCAUCUGUCCUAGUUCCUCUGCUUUUUUUGUUGGUCUGUGCGACGGCGGUGCUGGGAUGGCGUCGGCACAAGAAAAGAAGAGCAAAUGAGGACAGCGAAGAAGAGUGUGACGACAGAGCUGACCUCGAGAGAGAAGAGUGCCUCGACAGAGCUGACCUCGAGAGGGGUGUGGCUGCCGGAGGCCCCAGACGGUACAUCUACAACGAGCUGGUCGCCGCAACGGGUAACUUCGCGGAGGAGAAGAAGCUCGGGCGAGGCGGCUUUGGGAGCGUUUACGGGGGUCAGCUCACACUAGCAGCGGCCGUCGGAGGUGUGGCGGUGAAGGUGCUAUCAGCGGAGUCGACUGCGCAGGGGAGGAAGGAGUUCGAGGCAGAGGUGAGGAUCAUCAGCAGACUAAAGCAUCGCAACCUUGUCCAGUUGCUGGGCUGGUGCGACAGCCGCAAGGGGCUCCUGCUUGUCUACGAGCUUGUCACAGAGGGCAGCCUAGACAGGCAUCUCUACAACAAGGACGGAAAGCAUCUCACAUGGCCACAGAGGUACAAGGUCAUCCUCGGCUUGGGAUCCGCGUUGCGCUACCUCCACGGAGAGUGGGAGCAGUGCAUCGUGCACGGCGACAUCAAGCCCAGCAACAUCAUGCUUGACUCGUCAAUGAGCACCAAGCUUGGGGACUUCGGGUUGGCCCGGCUCGUUGACCACGACACGGGGUUGCUGCAGACCACCAAGGCCGUGCUUGGCACCGCCGGCUAUAUCGACCCUGAGUUCGUCAAGACGCGCCGGCCGUGCACUGAGUCCGAUGUCUACAGCUUCGGCAUCGUUCUACUGGAGAUCGUCUCUGGCCGGCGGCCGGUGACGGAGACCGCGGGGAAAUCCUUCACUCUGCUCAGGUGGGUGUGGAGCAUGUAUGGCAGGAACACGAUCCUCGACGCGGCGGAUGAGAGGCUGAGGGGUGACGAGGCCGACGAGCAGUGGAUGGUGCGGGUACUCAUCGUCGGGCUCUGGUGCGCGCACCCGGAACGGAGCGAGCGGCCGUCUGUCGCCCAGGCAAUGCACGUCCUGCAGUCCGACGAGGCAAGGCUGCCGGCGCUCACGCUGCACAUGUACAUGACUGCGCCAAACCCCGCAUCGUCCGGCCCGUACGGGUCUUUCUCCAUUGAGAGCUCUAGCUCCGGUUGUGUUCGCUCUUCUUCGGACAACACCAGCAACGCCACUCUUUCCUCCGAGUCGUCCUCGACUGCGUUGCUACGAUAUUCCAGCGAUGGCUAA